rnacentral:rRNA from 1 species
UACGGAGGGGGCGAGCGUUGUUCGGAAUUACUGGGCGUAAAGGGCGCGUAGGCGGCCCAUCAAGUUAGGCGUGAAAGCCCCGGGCUCAACCUGGGAAUUGCGUCUGAUACUGGAUGGCUUGAAUCCGGGAGAGGGAUGCGGAAUUCCAGGUGUAGCGGUGAAAUGCGUAGAUAUCUGGAGGAACACCGGUGGCGAAGGCGGCAUCCUGGACCGGCAUUGACGCUGAGGAGCGAAAGCCAGGGGAGCAAAC